AGCUGUUAUCUGAGGCUACAGCAGAAGUGCUCACGACAUGGCCCUGUCAGAGUCCAGUGAAUCUGUGAAUUCUGCU
rnacentral:ribozyme from 1 species